rnacentral:tRNA from 1 species
GCUUCUAUAGCUCAGUAGGUAGAGCGUGCGGCUGUUAAAUCUUCCCGGGCUCCGUCCCGGGUAUGCCACCGCAAGGUCGACGGUUCGAUCCCGUCUGGAAGCG